rnacentral:rRNA from 1 species
UACGUAGGGUGCGAGCGUUGUCCGGAAUUAUUGGGCGUAAAGAGCUCGUAGGCGGUGUGUCACGUCGGCCGUGAAAACCUGCAGCUUAACUGUGGGCGUGCGGUCGAUACGGGCAUCACUGGAGUUCGGCAGGGGAGACUGGAAUUCCUGGUGUAGCGGUGAAAUGCGCAGAUAUCAGGAGGAACACCGGUGGCGAAGGCGGGUCUCUGGGCCGUAACUGACGCUGAGGAGCGAAAGCGUGGGGAGCGAACAGG